UAUUUUCACCUUUUCCGUGCUACUGAUCUAUUUCUGCUUUCCUGAGACCAGUCUUGGACAAGAGACAGAAGAGACGAAAUAUGCUGCCAGAAUAGAGAGUUGCCGUGGAUGACGACUGAACUCCCUCCCUUCAGUGAAGCAGUUCAUCUUUCAAGACCUUCCAUAUUAUCAUGACGUAGAUUUAAGGUUCGUGGGGGGCGCCAAUCCAGACCUUCUCAUCCUUGAUUCUGA